UUAAUUGAAACCAAACAGAGGUUUAUCACUGUUAAUGAUAAUAAUGAAUUUAAUUCCAAUUAAG
rnacentral:tRNA from 1 species